AAAGCCAGUGGCGCGAAG
rnacentral:snRNA from 1 species